AAACCAACAGGGAUUGCCUUAGUAGCGGCGAGUGAAGCGGCAAAAGCUCAAAUUUGAAAUCUGGCGCCUUCGGUGUCCGAGUUGUAAUUUGAAGAUUGUAACCUUGGGGUUGGCUCUUGUCUAUGUUUCUUGGAACAGGACGUCACAGAGGGUGAGAAUCCCGUGCGAUGAGAUGCCCAAUUCUAUGUAAGGUGCUUUCGAAGAGUCGAGUUGUUUGGGAAUGCAGCUCUAAGUGGGUGGUAAAUUCCAUCUAAAGCUAAAUAUUGGCGAGAGACCGAUAGCGAACAAGUACAGUGAUGGAAAGAUGAAAAGAACUUUGAAAAGAGAGUGAAAAAGUACGUGAAAUUGUUGAAAGGGAAGGGUUUGAGAUCAGACUCGAUAUUUUGUGAGCCUUGCCUUCGUGGCGGGGUGACCCGCAGCUUAUCGGGCCAGCAUCGGUUUGGGCGGUAGGAUAAUGGCGUAGGAAUGUGACUUUACUUCGGUGAAGUGUUAUAGCCUGCGUUGAUGCUGCCUGCCU
rnacentral:rRNA from 1 species